rnacentral:rRNA from 1 species
GACGAACGCUGGCGGCGUGCUUAACACAUGCAAGUCGAACGGAAAGGCCCUGCUUUUGUGGGGUGCUUGAGUGGCGAACGGGUGAGUAACACGUGAGUAACCUGCCCUUGACUUUGGGAUAACUUCAGGAAACUGGGGCUAAUACCGGAUAGGAGCUCCUGCUGCAUGGUGGGGGUUGGAAAGUUUCGGCGGUUGGGGAUGGACUCGCGGCUUAUCAGCUUGUUGGUGGGGUAGUGGCAUACCAAGGCUUUGACGGGUAGCCGGCCUGAGAGGGUGACCGGCCACAUUGGGAAUGAGAUACGGCCCAGACUCCUACGGGAGGCAGCAGUGGGGAAUAUUGCACAAUGGGCGGAAGCCUGAUGCAGCAACGCCGCGUGCGGGAUGACGGCCUUCGGGUUGUAAACCGCUUUCGCCUGUGACGAAGCGUGAGUGACGGUAAUGGGUAAAGAAGCACCGGCUAACUACGUG